rnacentral:rRNA from 1 species
UGGGGAAUAUUGCACAAUGGGCGCAAGCCUGAUGCAGCCAUGCCGCGUGUAUGAAGAAGGCCUUCGGGUUGUAAAGUACUUUCAGCGAGGAGGAAGGCAUUGAGGUUAAUAACCUCAGUGAUUGACGUUACUCGCAGAAGAAGCACCGGCUAACUCCGUGCCAGCAGCCGCGGUAAUACGGAGGGUGCAAGCGUUAAUCGGAAUUACUGGGCGUAAAGCGCACGCAGGCGGUCUGUCAAGUCGGAUGUGAAAUCCCCCGGGCUCAACCUGGGAACUGCAUUCGAAACUGGCAGGCUAGAGUCUUGUAGAGGGGUAGGAUUCAGGAUUGUCA